AGAGUUUGAUCCUGGCUCAGAACGAACGCUGGCGGCGUGCUUAACACAUGCAAGUCGAACGUGAUUCAGAGCUUGCUCUGAUGAAAGUGGCGCACGGGUGAGUAACGCGUGGAUAACCUGCCCUGGUAUCUGGGAUAACAUCUCGAAAGGGGUGCUAAUACCGGAUAAGCCCACGGGUUCUUCGGAGUCUGCAGGAAAAGGAGGCCUCUAUUUAUAAGCUUCCGUAUCAUGAUGGGUCCGCGUACCAUUAGCUAGUUGGUGGGGUAAUGGCCUACCAAGGCGACGAUGGUUAGCUGGUCUGAGAGGAUGAUCAGCCACACUGGAACUGAGACACGGUCCAGACUCCUACGGGGGGCAGCAGUGGGGAAUUUUGCGCAAUGGGGGAAACCCUGACGCAGCAACGCCGCGUGAGUGAUGAAGGCUUUCGGGUCGUAAAGCUCUGUCAGAGGGGAAGAAAUGAAACGUGCUAAUAUCACGUUUUCUUGACGGUACCCUCAAAGGAAGCACCGGCUAACUCCGUGCCAGCAGCCGCGGUAAUAC
rnacentral:rRNA from 2 species